rnacentral:lncRNA from 1 species
GCCGUCUCUGGUACGCGGUCGCAGCACCAGAUUAGGAAGGCGGCCGUAACAAAUGGCCCGAGGGUAUAAAUGAUAACUAGUAAAAUGCCGGGAAUGUUGUCCGGCCCGACGGCCGUCGAUAUCGUCGUGGUCAUUCCUUANNNNNNNNNNUUUCCCGCCAUCCGCCUCGGUGCCGGCAGGGUACGAGAAGUAGGCCAGCUGCUGCGGCUCCAUGACCCGCGCCGGCGAGCCGGACGUCGUGCGGCUCCUUGUACCCGCGGCGGCCGCGUUAUAUCCUUG